rnacentral:tRNA from 1 species
GGAAAUAUGCCCGAAUUACAAGGACUACUUUGAUAGAGUAAACAACAGAGGUUAAAAUCCUCUUAUUUCCUAU